rnacentral:rRNA from 1 species
AGCGCAUACGGUGGAUGCCUUGGCGGUCAGCGGCGAUGAAGGACGUGGCAGCCUGCGAAAAGCCUCGGGGAGUCGGCAACAGACUUUGAUCCGGGGAUGUCCGAAUGGGGAAACCCACUCCGCAAGGAGUAUCCGUGCCUGAAUACAUAGGGUACGGAAGCAAACCGAGGGAACUGAAAUAUCUCAUUACCUCGAGGAAAAGAAAUCAACCGAGAUUCCCCCAGUAGUGACGAGCGAACGGGGACCAGCCCUUAAGUGCAUGGUGUUUAGUGGAACGGUCUGGAAAGGCCGGCCAUAGACGGUGAUAGCCCGGUACGCGAAAGGGCACUGUGCAUGAAGAUGAGUAAGGCGGGGCACGAGAAAACCCUGUCUGAAUAUGGGGGGACCAUCCUCCAAGGCUAAAAUACGUCUGACCGACCGAUAGUGAACAAGUACCGUGAGGGAAAGGUUAAAAGAACCCGGUGAGGGGAGUGAAAUAGACCUGAAACCGUAUGCGUACAAGCAGUGGAAG